GACGAACGCUGGCGGCGUGCCUAACACAUGCAAGUCAACUUGACUGAAGGAGCAAUCUGACAGUAGAGUGGCGCAAGGGUGCGUAACGCGUAAGUAACUUGCCCAAGGUAAGGAAUAACGUCGAGAAAUCGGCGCUAAUACCUCAUAAUGCAGCGGAUCCGCAUGGAUAUGUUGUUAAAGGUUUACCGCCUUGGGAUAGGCUUGCGUCUGAUCAGUUAGUUGGUGUGGUAACGGCACACCAAGGCUACGAUCAGUAACUGGUCUGAGAGGAUGAUCAGUCACACUGGAACUGAGACACGGUCCAGACUCCUACGGGAGGCAGCAGUGAGGAAUAUUGGGCAAUGCUCGAAAGAGUGACCCAGCAACGCCGCGUGGGGAUGAAGGUAUUCUAUAUCGUAAACUCCUGUGAGAGCAGACGAAAGACAGAUUAUUAAUCUGGAUGACUGUAUGCUCAGAGGAAGCCCCGGCUAACUACGUG
rnacentral:rRNA from 1 species